rnacentral:lncRNA from 1 species
CAAUUGUCCUAAUAGCCACCAUGGAUUGGAUGGAUGCUAACAACAGGCUCACAGUUCUCCUUCUGUUGCCUCCUUUUAUCCACAUGAGAAUCAAACAAGACUACUGAUUAAAUGAAGCCUUUGAUGAAGUGCAUGCAGUUUGUAGCUUGAUUCAUGGGAAUACUCAUCACAGACUGAAAGUGUAACCCAGGGUCUCUGGGUUUUUGGGAACGCGCUGUGUAAAAGUAUCUACUUGUAACUGUUACUCCCUGAGUUGUUGUUGUUUUAGAAAGUUCCAAGAAGAAGCUUAGCCUUGGAAAAAACAAAAACUGGUUGAAUCCAGAAGUGGAGAUGAAUUUUGGCCAACGCUCCUCACUGCCACACUAAAAACCCUGCUCAGAGAGGAGCUUAUUCACCAUGUUCUAUUCAUGCAAUGUGUGUGGAAACAUGAUCUACGACAGCAUGCGUGCUGCCUUCACCCUACCUCUACAUACAAUGACUCAUUUAACCUGCUGAAUAAAAGCCCUGUUUUCACCUUUGCUGGGGGAGGUGCCGCUUUGGGAACUAUUCGCAGUGUCCUCUUCACUUUUUGCAAGUAAUAGAAUACCCUUGUUAAAUCCU